GAUGAACGCUGGCGGCGUGCCUAAUACAUGCAAGUCGAGCGAACAGACGAGGAGCUUGCUCCUCUGACGUUAGCGGCGGACGGGUGAGUAACACGUGGAUAACCUACCUAUAAGACUGGGAUAACUUCGGGAAACCGGAGCUAAUACCGGAUAAUAUAUUGAACCGCAUGGUUCAAUAGUGAAAGACGGUUUUGCUGUCACUUAUAGAUGGAUCCGCGUCGCAUUAGCUAGUUGGUAAGGUAACGGCUUACCAAGGCGACGAUGCGUAGCCGACCUGAGAGGAUGAUCGGCCACACUGGAACUGAGACACGGUCCAGACUCCUACGGGAGGCAGCAGUAGGGAAUCUUCCGCAAUGGGCGAAAGCCUGACGGAGCAACGCCGCGUGAGUGAAGAAGGUCUUCGGAUCGUAAAACUCUGUUAUUAGGGAAGAACAAAUGUGUAAGUAACUAUGCACGUCUUGACGGUACCUAAUCAGAAAGCCACGGCUAACUACGUG
rnacentral:rRNA from 1 species